AUUGAACGCUGGCGGCAUGCCUUACACAUGCAAGUCGGACGGCAGCGCGGGGGCAACCCUGGCGGCGAGUGGCGAACGGGUGAGUAAUACAUCGGAACGUGUCCUGUAGUGGGGGAUAGCCCGGCGAAAGCCGGAUUAAUACCGCAUACGACCUAAGGGAGAAAGCGGGGGAUCUUCGGACCUCGCGCUAUAGGGGCGGCCGAUGGCAGAUUAGCUAGUUGGUGGGGUAAAGGCCUACCAAGGCGACGAUCUGUAGCUGGUCUGAGAGGACGACCAGCCACACUGGGACUGAGACACGGCCCAGACUCCUACGGGAGGCAGCAGUGGGGAAUUUUGGACAAUGGGGGCAACCCUGAUCCAGCAAUGCCGCGUGUGUGAAGAAGGCCUUCGGGUUGUAAAGCACUUUUGUCCGGAAAGAAAACUUCGCUCCUAAUAUGGGUGGAGGAUGAC
rnacentral:rRNA from 1 species